UAAAAGUCCCCGACCUCCAAUUUUUUUAUUUUUUUUUUUUAAACCGUCCGAGUUUAGUGCAAAAACUCUCUAUAAAAAAGACCGUUUUACUUGAAAAAAUGGUGAUUUUAUUCUUCUGGGAGCUAUGUAAUACGUUUACUCCUUCCUCGCAGCUAAAGUGUUCGCGCGUGACCGCCAAACGGUAAUCAUUUCUGUUUUAUUAAAAACAUGAACGGUAUUAAAAAACAUGAACGGAUUUUGAAAGAAUUAAAGUGAGUUUUGACUGUGGUAAUAUACUGGAUUUCCUGCAUUUAGC